rnacentral:rRNA from 1 species
AUGAACGCUGGCGGCGUGCCUAAUCCAUGCAAGUCGAGCGAACGGACGAGAAGCUUGCUUCUCUGAUGUUAGCGGCGGACGGGUGAGUAACACGUGGAUAACCUACCUAUAAGACUGGGAUAACUUCGGGAAACCGGAGCUAAUACCGGAUAAUAUUAUGAACCGCAUGGUUCAAAAGUGAAAGACGGUCUUGCUGUCACUUAUAGAUGGAUCCGCGCUGCAUUAGCUAGUUGGUAAGGUAACGGCUUACCAAGGCAACGAUGCAUAGCCGACCUGAGAGGGUGAUCGGCCACACUGGAACUGAGACACGGUCCAGACUCCUACGGGAGGCAGCAGUAGGGAAUCUUCCGCAAUGGGCGAAAGCCUGACGGAGCAACGCCGCGUGAGUGAUGAAGGUCUUCGGAUCGUAAAACUCUGUUAUUAGGGAAGAACAUAUGUGUAAGUAACUGUGCACAUCUUGACGGUACCUAAUCAGAAAGCCACGGCUAACUACGUG